AGUUAUAAAAUUAUUUAAUUUGUUAGAAGGAUAAAUAAUUGUAAAAGGAAUAAUUUUUUUUUAUUAGUUUGUACGAAUAAAUUGUGUGGUUAGUUUAUGAUAGGGAAUUAGUAUUGUGAAAGAAUUUUUUAAAUUGUGUAAAAGAAGAUUUAAAUUGUCGUACCUUGUGUAUCAGGGUUUAUUAAUUAAAAUUUAAAAUUUUAAUUUUCUCGAAUCUAAAAGAGCUGUGGUUAUAUUGGAUUUUAUUGUAGAAAAAAUAUUGAUAAUAUAGUUGCUGAAGUGAAAUUCUAUUCGAUUUUAGGUAUAUCUAGUUUUUUAAGAAAAAAAUUUAAUUUUGGUCUUAUUUUACUUUAAUUUUAUUUAUUUAAUUUUAUGGUAGUGAGAUUCUAUAUCUGAGGGGAUGAGCUUUUGGAUAAAAUUAUAUAACAGAUUGUUUAGAUUUAUAGUUAAUCAGUAGGAUUGAAAGUUUCUAUCUUGUAGUGUGUUAUUACUAGUGGUGUAGAAUUAGGAUUUAUAUGUAUGUUGUUUAUGUAGUUAUUAAAAUAUGAGUUUUAUUUAAAUUUAUUCAGUAAAAAUGAUAGAAUUAGUAUAAUUUAGGGUUAAAAUUAUGAGGAAAGAGAGGUUUUUUAAAGGAACUCGGCAAAUAUAUUUUUCACCUGUUUAAUAAAAACAUGGCUUGUUGAUUAUGAUUUCAGGUCUGACCUGCCCACUGAGGAGAUUAAAUGGCCGCGGUAUAUUGACCGUGCAAAGGUAGCAUAAUCACUAGUUUUUUAAUUGAAAGCUUGUAUGAAAGGUUUGAUGAAAAAAUAGCUGUCUCUGGAAAAAUUUUUUAAAAUUUUAUUUCUAAGUGAAAAAGCUUAGAUUUUUAUAGAAGACGAGAAGACCCUAUAGAGUUUUAUAUGUAAAUUUAAAGUUCAAAUUUUAGGUUAGUUUUAUUUUGAACUUUUUUUACUUAUUUUGUUGGGGUGAUGGGAAAAUUAAUUUAACUUUUCUAUAUUUUUAUAUUAAUUUGUAAGUUUAUGAUCCUAAAGUUUAGAUUAAAAGAAUAAAUUACCUUAGGGAUAACAGCGUAAUUUUUCUUAGAGUUCGUAUCAAAAGAAUAGAUUGCGACCUCGAUGUUGGAUUAAAAUUAAUUACUGGUGCAGUAGCUGGUAAAUUGGGUCUGUUCGACCUUUAAAAUUUUACAUGAUCUGAGUUUAAACCGGUGUGAGCCAGGUUGGUUUCUAUCUCUAUAAAAGAGGGGGUGUUUUAGUACGAAAGGACCAGACAUUCAGUUUAAAACUAGGGUUUUGAGUUAUAUUAA
rnacentral:rRNA from 1 species